AAAAACAAAUCAGGCUGAAUUCAAGUUCAAAACACCACGAGGACCAACUGCAGGUCUGAACUGACUCUUUAUCUUUGCUCAGGAGUCGAGGAAACACAGCAGGCAGUGAAAAGAUCAAAUCAUUCACUCAUUAUAUCAACACAGCUGCACAGUGGACACAUGACUUUACUGUGCUUACUGAGUGUCAUUUCUCUUUAGUUCUGAUCUCACUGCUGAGCUGCACAACAAACCAAGCUCGUCUGACUGUGAGUCCCAGCAGCUCUCAGUUCUUUAAGGAAGUCUUUGUGUCUCUGAGCUGUGAGGAGGACGACAGCUCUGCUGGAUGGACUCUGAGGAGAAACACAAGCAAACAACAGAGGACUCAGUGUGGAGAUGGGUGGGGAAGAGGGACCCGUUCUUCAUGUAACAUUAGUACACUAUUCACUUUGGACAGUGGAGUUUACUGGUGUGAGUCCAGAGAGGGUCCCAUCAGUAACAUGGUUAACCUGACAGUCACUGGU
ensembl:lncRNA